GGCGUUAUUAGCACAAAUCAGUCCCAUGGAUGUGGGCCAUCCACCUGCUAGAUUGUUCAGAAGCUUGUUAUCAUCCAUCCAGAUGGAGGAUCACUAACAGGAGCGUGGAAGACUCCAGAAUCCACUCUGGCUGGAAUCCGGUGGAUACAGCAGUGUUACAGAACAGUUCUCCACAGUCACUGUCCACAUGGGUCAGUGGGACCAAGCAGCACUCUGCUAAUGUGAGACUCUGACCAGCAACAUCCAGCAAGACCCAAGCAGCGUUUUCUAUCUCCCAGCUGGAGUUGUUUGUUUGUGACUGGAGAGUCAGAUUUUUGUUGAAGCUGGAGGAACAGCCUCACAGUUGCAGAGGUUAAUACACUCUACUGAUCCCUGAUGGGAGAAUCAUCACCUCUGCCAACAAAGAAGCCUGGUGGAUAUUUGUUUGCAGUCUGAUGAUGGGACAUCAUGCUCUGCAUCUUCAAAUCUUUUUGCAGGAUCAGAAAACAAAACCAGGAGGCCUGUAAAUGUUUCUUCUCCAAUUGGAUGAUGAUAAGACCGUGACACAGGAUGCCACCUUUAGUCUUGUGAUGAAGCAAAGCUCAGGAAGAAGUGUGAUUAAAUGGUACCCACAUGUCGGCA